rnacentral:rRNA from 1 species
UCAGACGAUGCGUCAUGCAUAUCAAUAAGCGGAGGAAAAGAAACUAACAAGGAUUCCCUUAGUAACGGCGAGUGAAGCGGGAAGAGCUCAAAUUUGAAAUCUUCAAGGUUCUACCUUGACGAAUUGUAGUUUAAAGAAGUGUUUUCGGUUAGAGGAGUGGUAAAAGUUCUUUGGAAUAGGACAUCAUAGAGGGUGAGAAUCCCGUAUUUGACCAUUCUUUCUAGCUUUGUGAUACACUUUCAAAGAGUCGGAUUGUUUGGGAAUGCAGUCCAAAAUGGGUGGUAAAUUUCAUCUAAAGCUAAAUAUUGGCGAGAGACCGAUAGCGAACAAGUACCGUGAGGGAAAGAUGAAAAGAACUUUGAAAAGAGAGUUAAACAGUACGUGAAAUUGUCAAAAGGGAAGCGUUUGACACCAGUGUUGUUUUCUCGAAAAUCAAUUAAAAAGAGUUGGAUUUUGUGUUGUAUUGACCUUAACAGCUUGCUUCACUCUUUUCCUGCUUUUUUUAAUGCACUUUUCGUUUAACAAGUCAACAUCAGUUUCUUUUGUUGUAAAAGGGUCAUUGGAAGGUGGCUUUCUCUUCGGAGAAAGUGUUUAUAGCCUUUGAUCUCUGCAAUCGGAGAGACUGAGGUCUGCAGCGUAGAUCCUUCGGGGUUAGAUACAUUUGUGCUAAGCUACAGCUUUUCAUAGACAACUUGUUGACUAUGUUUAGUCUUGUAACUUACCCGCUUAUGCUAUUUUACCUACGCUUAGGAUGUUGAUAUGCAUGACUGAUAU